rnacentral:rRNA from 1 species
GACGAACGCUGGCGGCGUGCUUAACACAUGCAAGUCGAACGGUGAAAGCGGAGCUUGCUCCGCUGGAUCAGUGGCGAACGGGUGAGUAACACGUGGGCAACCUGCCCUCCACUUCGGGAUAACUCCGGGAAACCGGGGCUAAUACCGGAUAUGACCUCUGCGGGCAUCCGCGGAGGUGGAAAGUUUUUCGGUGAAGGAUGGGCCCGCGGCCUAUCAGCUUGUUGGUGAGGUAGUGGCUCACCAAGGCGAGGACGGGUAGCCGGCCUGAGAGGGCGACCGGCCACGCUGGGACUGAGACACGGCCCAGACUACUACGGGAAGCAGCAGUGGGGAAUAGUGCACGAUGGGCGCAAGCCUGAUGCAGCGACGCCGCGUGAGGGAUGACGGCCUUCGGGUUGUAAACCUCUUUCAGUAGGGACGAAGCGCAAGUGACGGUACCUACAGAAGAAGGACCGGCCAACUACGUGCCAGCCGCCGCAGUAA